CACGUAGGGGGCAAGCGUUGUCCGGAUUUAUUGGGCGUAAAGAGCUCGUAGGCGGCUCGGUAAGUCGGGUGUGAAACCUCCAGGCUCAACCUGGAGACGCCACCUGAUACUGCUGUGGCUAGAGUCCGGUAGGGGAGUGUGGAACUCCUGGUGUAGCGGUGAAAUGCGCAGAUAUCAGGAGGAACACCGGUGGUGUAGACGGCUUUCUGGACCGUAACUGACGCUGAGACACGAAAGCGUGGGUAGCAAACAGG
rnacentral:rRNA from 1 species